GCAACAACGGAUUGUCAAGGAAGGAUCCCACAUCUUCACCACGGUACAAAACACUAACCGAGAAUCCUGCCUCCUUAUGCAACUUCCUUCAAAUCUCUCAGUUUCCCAGAAAACAAAAGAAUCCUUGUUGUAUAAAUCAGACUUUCUCGAAACAAGCCAACAUUCAGAAUUCAAAUCCACUCCCAUUAAAGACCACUCGACCAUAAACCCUCUCAAAGUUAAAAAAGAUCAAAACUUUCUCUGUUACUAUACUAAAGCAUAGUUGGUUUCAAGAGACACAUGUCACCAAACCAAUCCUCGUACAACUCUGUUUCCAAGCACCAGCAUACUUUGCAGUGAAUGACCUCAUUGCAGAAGCACCGACAACGAAGAUAACAUUAAGACAACUAUCAUCUUUAGUAAUGUUGACAAAGAAAUGCAGUGCCCAACAAUUCAAAACCUUUAUCUAUGGGUCUCUCUGCUUUGUCAAAGCCACAGUUAUCCAACAUGAAGUCUCUGUCAACUGGCAGUCUUAAAGCCUUCUUCUUUACUGUUGUGUGUGCAAAUGAAUGAGCCUGAAAAGGUUUUCAAGUCUAGAGUUUGGAACUCUGUCCAGUCUGAGAAUUCAAGUUCUGUUAAUAUCUGGGACUAUUCAGAUGCUGAGGAUACUCCUACAUCUUCUUGGUCUACAUUGCCCAAUAGAAUUCAAAUCAAGAUAUUGCCAAGUUUAAAUUUUUCAAACUCGAGUACUGAGAUGUUGUCUUGGCUAGGAUUUGGGAUUUAUAGCUUCUGCGUGCCUGGUUAACUGUUACACAUCUAUCUGUUUUCCCACAUACAAAUAUAGCAUCUGCAGUGCACAGCUAAUUUGAAGAACUAUGGCUGUGUUCUUAUUUGGGUGGAGCAAGGCUUUCAGCCAUAACGUAUAGAAACACUGAGACCAGGUACUUCUGUUUCCCACUGCUAAAGUCUAACACACGAUAUGAUUAAGAUUUCACCCUUGGAACUACAGGAAGGAUAGGGAUGAUGGAAUCGGAAACUAGCUGUGGCUCAUCAUAAGCGGGUAGUGGAAAGUCAGAGUUUACUAUAGCUCAGGGAGUUUUGUCUAGUUCAGAUGAUAGCUUAUUUGGAAAGGUAACAGCAAACCUCAUGGAUUCCAAGUAUCAGAUAUGGGUUCGGGUUCAGUUCCAUCAUCGAUGUUUAUCAGAUAUCCUCUUAACAGGUUACACCAAACAUUUUGCAUAUGUUUGGCAUCCAUUGAUCCAAGACUUUGUUGCUCUUGUUGCAGUUCAACCUUUCAAAAAGCUUCUUGCAUGUUCUUUUUUUAUUCUGACAGAAGCAUGACUGACAAGAGUCGAUGUUUUGUAAGGCGGAGUGAUACUUAGAUGACGAACAAUUUGAUGAACUUGUUGAUGUCUGAGCCCUUCAGAUUUCAAUGUGAAUUCCAUUUGAUUUUUCGAA